UUUUCUGAUUUUCUUUGACUUGGAGCAGAUAAGACAGCAAUGGUAUGGUCACUGAAUAAUCUCCAUGAGGUGAACCUGCUGACAUUGUCUCCAUCUGAAUUGUGCUGGAUUGGAGGGUUCACAGAUCUAGAGCUGAAAGGGCCCUCAAAGGCAAUCUAACCCAAACCCCUCCUGCUACAGAUGAAAAACGUCAGGGUCCAAGAAGUAUCAGUCGAUUGCCCAAAGUCACAGAGGGUCACCAUUGUUUGAUACUGGAAUCUUUGCUGUCACCUGUGAUUCUGUCCUCUCCCUUGAGUCCCACAUUCAAUCAGUGGCCUCCUUCCUGCUGCCAAUGCACAAUUUUUCUAAAACACAUCUCAGAUGAUGUCAUGACCUUGCUUAAUAUAUGCAUAAAUUAUAUAUCUUUAUGUUAUAUACUGACCAUUGUCUUAGCUUGGCACUUAAAGCUUUCCAAGAUCUGGUCCCAAUCUACCUCUUUCAGAAUCAUUUUAUUAUAUUCUGUUAUAGGUUCCCUUUGA